rnacentral:sRNA from 1 species
CGUAGUACUGAAGAAUUGUCCACGAGCAGAAACUUCUGCUUCUGGCUACGACUUCUUACUUCUUUCCAUGAUCCCCCAACUCUUUAUCUCAUUAGCCAUAGGACCACCCCUUCCUGUUUGUGAUAUAUCUUGAAAUAUAUUUUGCAUUCUCAGCUUCAUCAAGCCUAGCAAUAAUACCGACCGUUGUCGCCGUUGUUUACGACGAGAGGACUGAACGGUGCUAAUGCAAAGCAUCGAAAAUCGUCGUAGAUGGUAAUCGAUUCUACAACAUCGCUUAUCAUAACCUAUAUCAAUCUAAUCCUUCUUGUUCCACACUUGUCUGCCUACCAUUUCCCCUACCACCUCUCCCACCGCCAAACUACUAGUCAACCCCGGGCUAUUGAAACCCAACAACUCGAUAAAACCCUUCCUUUGUUCCACAUGACGAAUGAGAAAGUCUGAGAACCCAGCUUCAGGCGGUGCAAUGUUGGGUCGAAUGCCAGCAUAGUCGGGCGAAAGUAAGGAGGGGUCAAUGGUGGGAAGAUAGUCCUGGAUGGAGCGAGCAAAAGCUGCUAUUCGCUCUGGGGAAGAAGCGGGCGCGAGAUGCGACUGCCAAAAGUCUGGGUCCCGAGCGGCAUCAGCAGAAGUGCCAAUCGUUUGGACAUCAGGACCGAAUUUGAUGUGACCGUCAAGGUCAAGUGUCUUUGGUACACAUUAGCCUGAAACAAUAGUGGAGAGUAUGAAUACUUGCCAGAUGGGUACCGAGGUGAUCGACGUUGGCGCUUGGACAAGGGUAGAUCAGUCUCGAGACAUUGCCAAUGCCAGGCCCCUUGUAGGACAUGUAAUUACCUUGAUUUUAGCUUCAUUCCACGGCAGUGCACACUCACCCUUGACAGGCCAUAAUUCUGCCAGCUCGCUUUCGGGUACAACGCCCUCACACAGACUGGCUGAUCCAAGUCCCGCGGCAUUCACGACCACAUCCGCGCGGACACUCUCUACCUCUCCCUUUUCUCCUUCCUCAAGACCUUCCCAGCCAGUCUCCAUUUGUACGACCCAUCCAUUGCCAGACUUCUCUCGAUCAAUCCGAACAACUCUCGUCCCGAGGACGAUAACGCCUUCUCCCCUGUCUUCUACUCGCGAUGCCGAAAGAUUGUAAUCAGGAUCUUCAACUUCUCUUUCCAAACUGUCUACCAAACCUUGUGAAUCCACAAUACCUGUCGAAGGAAUGAGCAAGGCCCCGCAUACUUUCGGAGAGAGGUCAGGCU